GGGGAAUGAAGUGAACAAGUCUCACCAUGGAGAACACAUCAUAGAGGUGUUCCCCAGAGACCUGAGACAAAAAGAAAAGUUCCUCAAACACCUAACAGGUCCUCUAUUCUUUAAUCCAAGGUGCAGGAAACACUUCUAUAGACUAUACCACAACACCAGAGACUGUACCAUCCCUGCCUACUAUAAGAGGUGUGCCCGUCUUCUCACCAGACUGGCAGGCAGUCAGAGGUGUACAGAGAGGUAGAAUACCCUGAGCCCGUGACAGAGAGAAGUGCCUUGAAAAGCAACGGGGAAUUGAGAUUGUUGGUUACGUUCGCACCACAGACUGCCACUGUUUGCAGAGAGCUCCCACAAUACUCUACUCUACAUUCUAAAUGGUGCAAAUGAAGAGACUUGUUGGACAGAAGAAAAUACAUCCUCAUAGUUCUACUGCCAAAAACCAUGACGACACAACACGUGGAUAUGAGUUUGGAUACUAGUUUACGACACGUGGAUACUAGUUUGGACACUAGUUUACGACACUUGGAUUAUAUUUUUCGUACAACAUGCCACUCUCUGGGACAGCUUCAGUGGUCAUCGACAUGCCUUCACGUUUUAAUUUGAGUUUUUAAUCAUUUUGCUUUUGGAUUACGGUUGGAGAUUGGACGGUGGUCUCUGAGCUGUGGUGGUUGUGUGUUGUGGGCAAUGGCUUCAGACUGAAAUAUAGACAGAUCUUCUCUUCAGCUACAUUCCACAAAGGUGAACUAAUCUAAUCCCCAAUGAAGUGACCUAUUGAUCGCCUGGUGGUAAUCUACACCCUGAUGGAAUGGUAGCUGGUAGCCUGGUGGUAAUCUACACCUUGAUGGAAUGGUAGCUGGUAGCCUGGUGGUAAUCUAAACCCUGAUGGAAUGGUAGCUGGUAGCCUGGUGGUAAUCUACACCCUGAUGGAAUGGUAGCUGGUAGCCUGGUGGUAAU